AACGGCCGACCUAGGCGAAGACGGGUAGCCGGCCUGAGAGGGCGAACGGCCACACUGGAACUGAGAUACGGUCCAGACUCCUACGGGAGGCAGCAGUGGGGAAUAUUGCACAAUGGGCGAAAGCCUGAUGCAGCAACGCCGCGUGAGUGAUGAAGGCUUUCGAGUCGUAAAGCUCUUUGAUCAGGGAUGAUAAUGACAGUACCUGAAAAACAAGCCACGGCUAACUACGUGCCAGCAGCCGCGGUAAUACGUAGGUGGCGAGCGUUGUCCGGAAUUACUGGGCGUAAAGGAUGCGUAGGUGGAUAUUUAAGUGGGAUGUGAAAUCCCCGGGCUCAACCCGGGAACUGCAUUCCAAACUGGAUAUCUAGAGUGCAGGAGAGGAAAGCGGAAUUCCUAGUGUAGCGGUGAAAUGCGUAGAUAUUAGGAGGAACACCAGUGGCGAAGGCGGCUUUCUGGACUGUAACUGACACUGAGGCAUGAAAGCGUGGGUAGCAAACAGGAUUAGAUACCCUGGUAGUCCACGCCGUAAACGAUGGGUACUAGGUGUAGGAGGUAUCGACCCCUUCUGUGCCGUCGUUAACACAAUAAGUACCCCGCCUGGGAGUACGGUCGCAAGACUAAAACUCAAAGGAAUUGACGGGGCCCGCACAAGCAGCGGAGCAUGUGGUUUAUUUCGAAGCAACGCGAAGACCUUACCUAGACUUGGCAUUUCCUGAUUACUCUUAAUCGAGGAAGCCCUUUCGGGCAGAAGACAGGUGGUGCAUGGAUGUCGUCAGCUCGUGUCGUGAGAUGUUGGGUUAAGUCCCGC
rnacentral:rRNA from 1 species